rnacentral:rRNA from 1 species
AACGAACGCUGGCGGCAGGCCUAACACAUGCAAGUCGAGCGGACCUUUCGGGGUCAGCGGCGGACGGGUGAGUAACGCGUGGGAAUAUGCCCUUCUCUACGGAAUAGUCCUGGGAAACUGGGGGUAAUACCGUAUACGCCCUUUGGGGGAAAGAUUUAUCGGGGAAGGAUUAGCCCGCGUUGGAUUAGGUAGUUGUUGGGGUAAUGGCCUACCAAGCCGACGAUCCAUAGCUGGUUUGAGAGGAUGAUCAGCCACACUGGGACUGAGACACGGCCCAGACUCCUACGGGAGGCAGCAGUGGGGAAUCUUAGACAAUGGGGGCAACCCUGAUCUAGCCAUGCCGCGUGAGUGAUGAAGGCAUUAGGGUUGUAAAGCUCUUUCAGCUGGGAAGAUAAUGACGGUACCAGCAGAAGAAGCCCCGGCUAACUCCGUG